CACCAGUCCAUAGCACCACAAAAACCCUUUCUCUAAGCCAAAAUGGCUAAGAUGGCCCCUCUCCUUUCCACUCUCCUUGUGGUGCUAGUGUCUCUUAGCUUGCCCCUGGAAUCCUCGGCAAACUACGGGUACUAUUCUCCUCCGCCUCCCAAGAAAUCUCCUCCCCGCCGUCCCCACCGCCUCCGACUCAUCCCUAUCACUACAAGUCCCCCUCCUCCGGUGCACUCCCCGCCUCCACCGGUCUACAAGUACAAGUCCCCCUCCUCCGGUGCACUCCCCGCCUCGGCCAGUCUACAAGUACAAGUCCCCCUCCUCCGGUGCACUCCCCCUCCGCCAGUCUAUAAGUACAAGUCGCCGCCUCCUCCGGUGCACUCCCCGCCUCGGCCGGUCUACAAGUACAAGUCCCCCUCCUCCGGUGCAAGUCCCCCGCCUCCUCCGGUGCACUCCCCCCUCCUCGCCUCCCCGCCAGUCGCCGCCUCCGCCAGUCUAUAAGUACAAGUCGCCGCCUCCUCCAGUGCACUCCCCGCCUCGGCCAGUCUACAAGUACAAGUCCCCCCCUCCUCCGGUGCACUCCCCCCCUCCGCCAGUCUAUAAGUACAAGUCGCCGCCUCCUCCGGUGCACUCCCCGCCUCGGCCGGUCUACAAGUACAAGUCCCCCCCUCCUCCGGUGCACUCCCCGCCUCCGCCAGUCUAUAAGUACAAGUCGCCGCCUCCUCCAGUGCACUCCCCGCCUCGGCCGGUCUACAAGUACAAGUCCCCCCCUCCUCCGGUGCACUCCCCGCCUCCGCCGGUCUAUAAGUACAAGUCACCGCCUCCUCCGGUCUACAAGCACUCCCCGCCUCGGCCGGUCUAUAAGUACAAGUCCCCCUCCUCCGGUGCACAAGUCCCCCUCCUCCGGUGCCCCCGCCUCGGCCGGUCUACAAGUACAAGUCCCCCUCCUCCGGUGCACCCCCUCCUCCGGUGCCUCCCCGCCUCGUCUCUAUAGUACAAGUCACCGCCUCCUCCGGUGCACUCCCCUCCACCUGUCUACAAGUACAAGUCGCCACCCCCUCCGGUGCACUCCCCGCCUCCCCAGUCUACAAGUACAAAUCCCCCUCCACCCCCUCCUCACGUGAAACCCCCAAGCCUCAGAAAUCUCCCCACCUCCUCCUAAGGAGCACCCCUACAAAUACAAAUCUCCUCCUCCUCCGCCACCGGUCCACAAGUCUCCGCCACCGCCUUCUCCCAAGAAGCCAUACAAGUACAAGUCUCCACCGCCACCUACACCAGUUCACAAGUCUCCACCACUUUCACCGCCCGUCCACAAGCCACCACCCCACCCUUACACUUAUGCAUCACCUCCUCCUCCUCACCACUACUAGAGGUUGACUGUCGAGAUACUCUCUAAAAGGGCCAGAUGAGUCCUUAUUGAAGAAAUAAAGAAAAUAUAUGCCGGAGAAUCUCAUACAGAGAAGGAAAAAGCGAGAGAGCUUCCGCUUUAGCUUUGGCCAACUGAGCUGGAGAAAGAAUAAAUAGACAUCUAGAUGGGUUUUUUUUUUUUUUUUUUAUAUCGUUUUCGUGUACUUUGGCUGCUUCCUAGAGUGUUUGUUGUAUGGACGAAUUUGAGCUUUCAGCCUCUGAAAAUGCCGAGGCUGAUCCGAUCAUAUAAUAAAAUGAAUGUUGUGUUUUCCCUUAAUCA